GUGCAAGGGCUCCCAGUAUAUUUGACUUUUCUCAGCGUUAGCUGAUUAAUAGGUAUCAUUUGCCAUGUGCAUGAUCCCUGCCUGGAGGAGACUGAUAAAAUCACGGGAGACAGCAGUGCAAAGGUCCAAUGGUCAGCAGCCAGGGAUCAUCAAUCAUUUGACACUCUGCACUACAGUAUAUGACCGAGACAUAGGAGACAGCAAUGCAGGGAGGAGUGCAGAAGAGGAACAGUCCUAAUCCAUACAGUCGCAAGCAGGUUCCAAAAGAACAGCAGUAUGAAGAAGUCUGAUCUGUUAAUCCUGCAAGAAAAGAAAGGAAAGAAAAGCAGACCGAAGAAAUCGCUGCAAAACACUUCUAUGUGGGAUCCGGUCUUUAGGUCGAUAGCACUUAGGUCAACACUCAUUAGGUCGACCACUAUUGGUCGAAAUGCAUUAGGUCGACAUGGUCUAUAUGUCGACAUGGUCACUAGGUCGACAUCACAAAAUGUUGACAUGUUUUUCACAUUUUUUUUCAGUCUUUUUCGUACUUUACGAUCCACGAGGACUACGAUUGGGAAUAGUAACCUGUGCCGAGCGGCAGCAGAGCGAGGCACCUUGUCCGAAGCAUGGUGAGCAAAGCGAGCAAGGGGAUACGGUGCACUAAUUGGGGUUCCCGGUCACUUUACGAAGAAAACAACACAAUAAAAAAAUAAAAAAAUCUCAUGUCGAUCUUUUUCCAUGUUGGCCUUGUUCAUGUUGACCUAAUUACUGUGUCGACCUAUUUCAGGUGUCAACCUAGUCACUGUCGACCAAUAGUGGAUAACCUAAUGACUGUCGACCUAGUUACUGUCGACUCUAUGAUCCACACCCUUCUAUGUUACAAGGGUUCUGGCAACAAUUCCCUGAGCUGUCAAGUUCACAGUGAAUGGGCAUGGUUUCCUAUUUCAUAUUAAUACUUAUAGCAAUAAUACUGCAUUAAUGUUGUGGGAAAUAAAAUGUCAAUUGUCAUUCUCAAGAAGACUGUAUACAGAAAACAUUUGGAUUAGUUACUGGAGAUAUAUGGUUACAUUUUUCUGAAAUACAAACAAACCGAACUUAUUGGUUAUGAGUUGAACCAAGUCCCGGUUUGGGUCUGUUGUCAGUUCGUAAUUCGGAUUUAGAAACCACACUCGGAAUUUGGAUAGCAUGUAAACAAACUGAAAUGAUUUUAGCUGUUUUUUUAGUGCUUUUUAGCUUUUUAAAUCAAUGUUUAUCGAUUUUAAAGGAAUCCAAAACCGAAACAAAUACCAAACCCGAACCAGAACACUUAAG